AUUUUACAUUUGGUGAUCGAUUGGUUACUUAAUUGUGACUAAUAGGAAAGUCCGAACUUCCUAACACUCUUCUCGAAGAGUGGAGACAAAGGUAGUGGAUAACGUCCACCCUCUUUAUUCGUAAGAAUAUUGGGCGGGAAAGUGCCACAGAGACAAUACUACUUCGUCCGCCAGAGCCUUGGCGGAGGCGGAUACGUGUAUCAAACACGGACCCAGCCUUCGCUAAAGCUUCGGCGGGUGAGGGAAAGGUGAAAAGUAGUUUGAUAUCAUUUGCACAAUUGACAAAUGGUUACAAGCUUCGGCUCUUAGUGAUGAGAUGCCGUGGUAAACCCUAUCUGAAGAAAGAGCAGCGUUGCGAUUUAUCGUUUCGAAAAGUUAGCUCGUUUGAGCCUAUAAGCAAUUAUAGGUCUAGAUAAAUGAUCAUCAGCCUACGCUGAAGCUUUGGCUGACAAGUCAAGCAUACUUAAAGCUUUAGCUGACAAGUUAAUCAUACGUUAUUUAGUAGAUUACUUGUACUCCGAAGCUUUAGCGCAGGUGUACAGAAUUCGGCUUAUAAAUGUAGAAUGAAU
rfam:Candidatus Magasanikbacteria bacterium RIFOXYC12_FTLL_32_21b rifoxyc3_full_scaffold_1206, whole genome shotgun sequence.